rnacentral:rRNA from 1 species
UAAUACCAGCUCUCCGAGUGGUAGGGAUGUUUAUUGGGCUUAAAGCGUCCGUAGCCGGCUCAGAAAGUCCUCCGUUAAAUCCAGCGAUUCAAUCGUUGGACUGCGGGGGAUACUCUUGGGCUUGGGGACGGGAGAGGUCGACGGUAUUCUCGGAGUAGGGGUGAAAUCCUAUAAUUCCGAGAGGACCACCAGUGGCGAAGGCUGUCGACUGGAACGAGCUCGACGGUGAGGGACGAAAGCUGGGGGAGCGAACCGGAUUAGAUACCCGGGUAGUCCCAGCCGUAAACGAUGCGGGCUAGGUGUUAGGGUGGCCACGAGCCACUCUAGUGCCGCAGCGAAGGCAUUAAGCCCGCCGCCUGGGGAGUACGGUCGCAAGGCUG